UUUAUUUAGAGUUUGAUCCUGGCUCAGGACGAACGCUGGCGGUGCGCCUAAUGCAUGCAAGUCGAACGAGCGACCCGGGCUUGCCCGGUUAGCUAGUGGCAGACGGCUGAGUAACACGUAAAUAAUCUGCCCCGAAGAGGGGGAUAAUCCAGAGAAAUCUGGCCUAAUACCCCGUACCUAUCUUUUCAGCCUGCUGAAUUGAUAGAAAGGUUUAUUCCGCUUUGGGAGGAGUUUGCGGCUUAUCAGGUAGUUGGUGGGGUAAUGGCCUACCAAGCCGAAGACGAGUAACCGGUGUGAGAGCACGAUCGGUCAGAGGGGGACUGAGACACGGCCCCCACUCCUACGGGAGGCAGCAGCAGGGAAUCUUGCGCAAUGGGCGAAAGCCUGACGCAGCGACACCGCGUGGAGGAUGAAUGUCUUAGGAUUGUAAACUCCUUUUAUCAAGGAAGAGAACGGACGGUACUUGAUGAAUAAGGUUCGGCUAACUACGUGCCAGCAGCCGCGGUAAUACGUAGGAACCGAGCGUUGUCCGAAUUUACUGGGCGUAAAGAGCGCGUAGGCGGUUUAUUAAGUCUCAUGUGUAAUCUCCCGGCUCAACUGGGAGGGGUCAUGGGAUACUGGUAGACUUGAAGAUAGCAGAGGAAAGCGGAAUUCCCGGAGUAGUGGUGAAAUGCGUAGAUACCGGGAGGAACACCAGAAGCGAAGGCGGCUUUCUGGGCUAUUCUUGACGCUGAGGCGCGAAAGCGUGGGGAGCGAACCGGAUUAGAUACCCGGGUAGUCCACGCCCUAAACGAUGGAUACUAGAUAUUGGGGGUAUAGACCCCUCCAGUGUCGAAGCUAACGCGAUAAGUAUCCCGCCUGGGGAGUACGGCCGCAAGGCUAAAACUCAAAGGAAUUGACGGGGACCCGCACAAGCAGCGGAGCGUGUGGUUUAAUUCGAUGCAAAGCGAAAAACCUUACCUAGGCUUGACAUGUUUCUGAAAGCCCCCGAAACGGGGCCCUCCUUCGGGACAGAAUCACAGAUGUUGCAUGGCUGUCGUCAGCUCGUGUCGUGAGAUGUUGGGUUAAGUCCCGCAACGA
rnacentral:rRNA from 1 species